GACAAAAGAGAAGGUGAGAUCCAGUUUGAAGAGCAUAAUAUUAACCAUUAUUUUUUAAUACAAGCCCACCAACAGGUACAUACUCACUUGGGCCUUCCGAAUACUCAGAUGCUGAAGCAUGAAAACACAACAAAACUACACUAAAAACGCUGUGUAUGUUACACAAAAGAAGACAUGCUGACACAUUUAUUCCAGAGAUGUGAAACAUGCUGUAGGACGGUGCUUUGCAUGGCAAGGCAAGGGUCACGCAUACACACCUGGAUCACAUGACAGGAGUGAAGGAGGAUACUUUACUGAUACUAAUAGUAAUAUACUUUCCGUUGCAAAGUUGGGCCAAAAAUGUGGUGGUGGUGGUGAAAAAAAAACAGUAGUAAGCUUGUCAUUGUAAGCUGUCAGAUCUAUCAAGACAGCUUAUUUUUACCAGUUAACAGGGAAAAAUCAGUAGGCAAUAUAAACUAGAAUUAGGUUUGAUAAAUACAAUCAGUCAAUCAAAAAAACUUAUUGUAUUCCAAAAACACAUCUGGAAACAUAAUGUGGUCUGUGAACAUGCUGUUGUGUUUAGCGUGGAGCAUUUUCUAUUGUUCUCUUUCAGCCAUUUCAUUCAUGUUGUGGUGUAGACAUUUGUCACCAAGGUUUCCGAAAGGGAAGGUUGGAAAUGUCUGGUUUAAAUAAAGGGCAACCUCUGCGAUGUCACUGAGCGAGCGGACAACAAAGUCACAGUUCACCAGCGGCAAAGGGGAAGGUAUGCAAAAGCGUUUCUCUAUGUUUAUUGUCUGUUUGGGUGCAAAAGGGCGUCCAGGAGAAACGUUGACAGAGUGAAUCACACAUUUAGGUGAGUACCUCGCAGUACUCGGUUGUCAUUACCCCUCCUCUGAUACAGAGGUUCAAGACCUCAGUCGAACAGAGUCAAUGAAAAAGAAAUAAAGAUUUCAGUGUGACAAGCCCAAAAGGAAUCUUAAGUAGGAUUAUGGUGGUGAUAUGAUGAUAACAAUACACACAACAUAAAAUUGCAACUACAGUACUUUAAGCACCAGACUUCCAAUAGGCAUCAGUGUGAACUUCAGCACCAGUUAAACAUAGCUGAGUGAGCUAAAGAAGCACAGGUGUUACUGAUAACAUUAACGAAGGCUCCCGUCAUUCCAAAGAUAAUCCUCAUUUUAGAAACACCUGCUGCCACCUACUGCUGUGAACGCAUUAUGAUAGGUGCACUUUUCCAUUCACACGUUCAAGGUCUUAAAGUCUAGUUCUUGGCAACACCGAUUUUCAGGUGUACUUCCAGGAAACAUACGCAGAGUUACUGUACACAUUGGAGCCCAUGCGGUAAAUCACAGGGACCACGAAUUCCAGAGUGGAUUGAAUGCUUGCAAUUUACAAACUCUGCAGAUUAGAUUUAGCAACUGGCUGAGCUGCAUUUCAUUCCUCUGCACUUCUGGGAAUAGGAAUGGGGAGGGGUGCGGGGGUUCAUUGACUUCAGAAUGAACAAACAAAAAGGCUAAAAAACAGGGUUCCCACUGUGGCAUGAAUGUUAAAUUCCAUCAUGUUCAUCCAAGACAAAGUCAUAAAGUUCCCAAGCAGAGAGAAUCUUCUUUACUAGCUUGUAUGUGUUGUUCUAUUACAUUAUUGUACCAUGAUCCAUUUCUGAAAAAAAACUGAUGGGCAGAUUUGCUUAACAUAGUCCAUGCUCCUUGUAAUAAUGUCUAUCUGUACUACUACUACUAUGUAAAUGAAUGGCUACUCUGUGCUGCCCUGAUGGCAUCAAACUGAACCACCCCCGCUGUUCCCAGGUAUGCUGAACAAGGCGAAAAGUAAAUAUAGCUGAACCAAUUCACUGGAAAAAGGGCACAGAUGUAGGGACAAAGAGAUUGUGGGUUUUACAAGAUAUAUCUGAGGCCACACUUGAAGCCAAAUCAAAUCAUUAAGUUGAACAACAUGGAAAAUACAGAGCCAUUUAUAUUUUAAAACGGACAGUGCUAUGUCAUGUGAGUUCAGCUGCAUGAAGAAUGCUGCCAUACAUGAAAAAGUUUGCUGGGAGAGUAAAUUAUUGUGACCUGAUCUAAUUCUGACCCACAUAAAACAGGUUGUACCAGAUCCCUCUGAUGCCUGAGACCAGCUGAAUGGAGUGAAACCUGGGCACGUCACAAUGAAUACUGGAAUGCUGUUCGUCAUAGUCAGUCUUGACCGUCAGUCCAGUUCACGUUAAUGCGAUACAUCUACAAGAAGACAUAAGAGAUGAAGGAUGCAGGUUGUACCAGAUCCCUCUGACGCCACUGAGACCGGCUGAAUGGAGUGACACCUGGGCGCAUCACAAUGAAUGCUGAUCCUGAUGACAGUUCUUUUCUUGUUCUCUCAUUCAUUGAAAGGCGUGACCCUUACUGAGCCAAACCAGAAAGUAUUUCUUUCUUCAUAUUUUCCUACCACAUACUUAAAGGGGACUUAUUAUGCUCAUUUCUAUAGUAGCAGGAUUUCACUCCUCUUUCUCCCUCUUUACUCCAAAUGUCAACUUCUCAAAUCCAUCCGUACAUGUUCGAGCUUGAAUACGGACGAUGACAGUGGACAGCACGAAUAUUUUUUUUUUUCCAUCUUUGAGUUUUGGACUGUUUGCUGGAUUAAACAAGACAUUAUUUUUUAUGUUAAAGACUAAACAAUUCAUUAAAAAAUGAUUGUAAAUAUUCAACAUUUGUACAUGAGCUGUAAAUAAAACUGUGACCUACUCAUUAA